rnacentral:rRNA from 1 species
CGGGGUGAGUAACACGUUGGUACCUGCCCUCUAGUGGGGAAUAACUGGCCGAAAGGUCGGCUAAUACCGCAUAAUAUCGCAAGAUUAAAGCAGCAAUGCGCUAGAGGAGGGGCCUGCGUCUGAUUAGCUAGUUGGUAGUGUAAUGGACUACCAAGGCGACGAUCAGUAGCUGGUUCGAGAGGAUGACCAGCCACACUGGGACUGAGAUACGGCCCAG